CAUAGGAAAAAUCCUGCGAGAGGGCGGUUUGCUCAUGUGGGUGCUUGGCACUGUGCGUGCGAGUAAGGUCAUGCGCACAGCGCACACGUCCCCUCCUCAUGCACACACACAUAGGACGUGCACACAAUGUGCACAUCCCGUCCGCGCGCACAACGCUUUGUCAGAACCUUUGCACUUGUCCUAUCAUGUGUAGGCAGGCUGUCAGUGUGUCACCUCGCGCACAGACUGGUGUCGCACACUGUGCAU
rnacentral:lncRNA from 1 species